rnacentral:rRNA from 1 species
GAAUCUUCCACAAUGGACGAAAGUCUGAUGGAGCAAUGCCGCGUGAGUGAAGAAGGUUUUCGGAUCGUAAAACUCUGUUGUGAGGGAAGAACAAGUACUAGAGGAACUGCUCGUACCUUGACGGUACCUCAUUAGACAGCCACGGCUAACUACGUGCCAGCAGCCGCGGUAAAACGUAGGUGGUGAGCGGUGUCCGGAAUUAUUGGGCGUAAAGCGCGCGCAGGCGGUCCUUUAAGUCUGAUGUGAAAUCCCACGGCGCAACCGUGGAAGGUCAUUGGAAACUGGGGGACUUGAGUACAGAAGAGGAAAGUGGAAUUCCAAGUGUAGCGGUGAAAUGCGUAGAGAUUUGGAGGAACACCAGUGGCGAAGGCGACUUUCUGGUCUGUAACUGACGCUGAGGCGCGAAAGCGUGGGGAGCAAACA